CCAAAGGCUCUUUUAAGAGCCACUCACUCUCACAAUAAAAAGAGCU
rfam:Picoides pubescens contig35240, whole genome shotgun sequence.